CUGAAUCACCCACGCAUACACAGACACACACACACACACCAAGCUACGAUUGCAGUUGAACGGAUGCAGAGCCUCAGCUCUCUAAUUACAACCCACUCACUCACAGACUGUUAACAGUUCUCUCACUUUGUUCUGCUUUUACGUACUCUUAAAACACUCUCCUUAUCCUCAGCUCAAACCCCGCCUAACUGCGCAGCAGCAGCAGCUGCGGUCUGAAUUCGAGAACUGCUAGCUGAAGCCAAAUGGUUUUUAUUAUCCCACGGUUCUACUUCUGCAUGCAAUCUUAAUUCACUAUCUUCUUGGUGGCUUAAGCUCCCUUUGAUCCUUCUUAUUUACGAAACGGUUAGAUAAAUGUGCCAGAACUUCAGAAAUUAGUUUAAAGGAAAAAUGUUGCAGAUCAGUUCAAGUUGCAGAAUCCUAAGUGUGUUAAAAGAAGAUCAUUCCAAGCACAAACAACAAUGGCUGCGCUGCUGCUCAAGAAGGCCGCACUUCUGCUGAUGCAUGGGAGUGUUAGAGGUCAAAUAUUACAUUGCCCAAAAGCUAAAUCCCAGGUGAUGAGACUUUGAUAAUGAACUUCCUCCACCCCCAAAAUCUUCAGCAGGCGCACCUCAUUCACAAUGAUGCUGCAUUGACUAUAUUCAUCAAACUUUGUGUUUUAGAAAGUAUCAUAUAUAGUGAGAAGUUGGAAGUCAUAAGUGUUAUGGUAAUUGGUUUUGUUGCUGCAGCUAGCUAGGGCUGUGAUUUUUUAACUCAAUGGAGGGCUUUGUCUAAUCAAAAGGGAGGGACAAUUAUUUCAGCUCCAGGGGGAAUGCACUGUAUGCCUGCCAUGAGAGGCAUUGCUCCCUUUGACCGGGCCGGGCCUCACGUCCCUUUCAUCGAAAGCAGGACAUCCCCAUCUCUCUCUUCCUCUCUCUCUCUCUCUCUGUCUCAACUCUUUGUGAGAAAGCAAGACAUCCCCAUCUCUCUCUCUCUCUCUCAACUCUAUGUGAGAAUGUCAAAUGAGUUUCUUCCCAAGCGUGCUUUAUCUGUUUAGCUUUUUUUCUCCUCUCUCUCUCUGUC